GCUGCCAUCUAUGAAGGGAUUUUUUUUAAAAUGAAAGAACCUUUCAAGCAGGAGCCUAAAGAGAUGUCUUUCUAUGGUCUGUUGGCGAUUUCAGAACUUGGGCAGUGAAAUGGUCAAUUCAUUAGAAAGAAACAACU
rnacentral:snoRNA from 1 species